AUGGUGUGUUUUGUACAGAACACCAAUAAAUUCUUCUCAAUUCUUCUCCCCCGUUCUUUUCGAGCAGUGAUACGCUUACGGCACGCACCACGCCGGCAGCUAUUUAUAUCCCACCUCCGAAAACUUUUGCGCGUUCCCCCGUUUUUUCCACCAUUUCCACGAUUUUCCUGCGGCUCCCCGGGCCGUGCAUUCCUGCCCAGCCCCAGCUGCCCCCUGCCCUCGGAGGGCUCCAGCGCUGCCGGCCCAGCCCGGGGCACGGCCGGGCAGGGCCACCCCGAGCUCCCCGGGGGCAAGGAGCCCCCGCCCGCUGCGCGCUCCCCGAGGAUGCUGCGGAGCCGAGGCUGCAGCAGAGGGGCUUUCGGAGGCGUUUUUUUUUUUUGUCGUUGCUUUUUCCUUCCCCUUCUUUCUCCCAACCUGGCCAACUUUUCUUUUUUUUUUUUUUUACUUAACUUUUUUUCUUCUUCUUCUUCUGUACUUUUCUGUACUUUUUUUUUUUUUUUCCCCUCGCAAAAGCCACGCCGUGGAAAGCCGGGGUGGCGGCGGCGGUGGUGGUGGUGGAGGAGGGAGAAACCCCUCCCCUUCCCCUCCCCCGUGGCUCCUUCCUCGGAAAAGCAGCACUUGGGGGGUUUCCUCCCCUUCCCCUCCGCGCCGCUCCCCGCGGCCGAGGAGGGCCCGGCGGGCUGCCGCCGGCCCGGGCCAGCCCCGGGAAGCCCCGGUAAGAGGGCGGACAGCGGCCCCUCGCCCAUCUCGGGGACCGGGGAGGCGAGGGGAGGGCCGGGGGAGGGAUGCGCGGCGGGGAGCGAGGCCGCCUCGGUUUCGCUUCGGGGCGGGGGAGCGGGGGCAGGGGCCGGGGCCGGGCCGGGCAGCGCCGCUGUCGCCCCGGCACUGAGCGCUCGCUCGCACCCGCGGCCCCUCCGGCAGCCCCGACCGGAGCUCAGGAGGAGCCGAGGGCAAAUCGGGCUCCGCUGCCUCCGAGCCGGCUCGUCGGGGAGCGCGCUUGCUGAUUGUUCUCUUCCCUGGAGCAGUUCAACGUGUAGAAGCGUAGCGAGGGCAUUGGCAGCUUUUACCUCAGCAUCAUCCAGCCCUGCUGAGAGGCACUCGACGCAGAACGGUGCUAAAAUGCUGGCAGAGAGACAGGGUACACCGAGACCUCCUAUGGGUGGGACAUCCUCAUUACCUUUACCGCUCUUCUGGCUGCACUGAGCAUCACUGCAACAGCUCUGCUCGUGUGGAAAAGAAAGGCAAGUUAUUAGCAAAUAAAAACCAAUACCUGACGUGACCCAUUCUAGGAAUUUAUUUCUCUUGCUUCUAACUUGGCUGGAUUGGAACUCCCCGUGCUGAAAUUUUCCAUGCUGGGUGUCUGUCUCAGGUUUAUUUUCUUUUUUUUAAGUUCAGUCAUUCUGAGAAAAAAAGGUUACAGAAGAGACAAAGUGAGCUAUUGAUUUGUCCAUUAAAGGCAUUCUGGUAACCAUUUUGACUGUGGCGUGCUCUUCUUUAGAGCAAGGGUCUGACACAGGGCAAGAAGUCACACCGGCAGCGUGCUGGCCCCGAGAAUAUUCAAGCCUUGUGUUGGGUCUCUGGAAAUUUGCAGCUUGUGUGUGGCCGGCUGUGGCUCGUGUCAGUUUAUCAGCUCGGUUUUCUGAAGGAGCCCACGCGA
rnacentral:lncRNA from 1 species